GACGAACGCUGGCGGCGUGCUUAACACAUGCAAGUCGAACGGAAAGGCCCUGCUUGCCGGGUACUCGAGUGGCGAACGGGUGAGUAACACGUGGGUGAUCUGCCCUGCACUUCGGGAUAAGCCUGGGAAACUGGGUCUAAUACCGGAUAGGAGCCAUUUUUAGUGUGAUGGUUGGAAAGUUUUUUCGGUGUAGGAUGAGCUCGCGGCCUAUCAGCUUGUUGGUGGGGUAAUGGCCUACCAAGGCGGCGACGGGUAGCCGGCCUGAGAGGGUGGACGGCCACAUUGGGACUGAGAUACGGCCCAGACUCCUACGGGAGGCAGCAGUGGGGAAUAUUGCACAAGGGGCGCAAGCCUGAUGCAGCGACGCCGCGUGGGGGAUGACGGCCUUCGGGUUGUAAACUCCGUUCGCUAGGGACGAAGCUUUUUGUGACGGUACCUAGAGAAGAAGCACCGGCUAACUACGUG
rnacentral:rRNA from 1 species